GGCAAAGAAAUCAGAAGCGGACAUUGUCCACACACGGCAGAGAGAAACAUUUUUACUCGUGUGGAGCAAACAAAUGUCAAGGAUCACAUGGGCAUGCUGGAACCUAUCCCAGCUGACUUCAGGCAAGAGGAGGCGUACACCCUGGACUGGUCGCCUGACGAUCAAGGAAGACGGCAUCUUGGGAAGAAAGGUGGCUCCACUGCAGGUAAUGAUGUCUUUCAUGUAGACCGGCUCUGGCUUCACUGACUUAGUGAUGUGGAUCGCAUAUCCCUGGAGGAGAUGAGGCAAAAAAUGUGGCAUGAGGAUCUUUUGGAAUGUCUGCACAAAAGAUCAAUACAAGCUUUCUUUUUUUAGCCGGUAUAUUGAACAACUCCUUUAGAUGACACAGCACAUGGCUGUGGAGGAUUCAGAGACUUGACUCGGUUUACAUCUUGCGUUAGAAUUCUGGCUCCGACUGCAUAAA